UACAGAGGGGGCAAGCGUUGUUCGGAAUUACUGGGCGUAAAGGGCUCGUAGGCGGCCAACUAAGUCAGACGUGAAAUCCCUCGGCUUAACCGGGGAACUGCGUCUGAUACUGGAUGGCUUGAGUUUGGGAGAGGGAUGCGGAAUUCCAGGUGUAGCGGUGAAAUGCGUAGAUAUCUGGAGGAACACCGGUGGCGAAGGCGGCAUCCUGGACCAACACUGACGCUGAGGAGCGAAAGCGUGGGGAGCGAUCCGG
rnacentral:rRNA from 1 species